rnacentral:rRNA from 1 species
CCUACGGGGAGCAGCAGUGGGGAAUAUUGGACAAUGGGCGAAAGCCUGAUCCAGCCAUGCCGCGUGUGUGAAGAAGGCCUUCGGGUUGUAAAGCACUUUCAGUGGGGAAGAAAGCCUUGGGGCUAAUACCCUCGAGGAAGGACAUCACCCACAGAAGAAGCACCGGCUAACUCCGUGCCAGCAGCCGCGGUAAUACGGAGGGUGCGAGCGUUAAUCGGAAUUACUGGGCGUAAAGCGCGCGUAGGCGGUCUGAUAAGCCGGUUGUGAAAGCCCCGGGCUCAACCUGGGAACGGCAUCCGGAACUGUCAGGCUAGAGUGCAGGAGAGGAAGGUAGAAUUCCCGGUGUAGCGGUGAAAUGCGUAGAGAUCGGGAGGAAUACCAGUGGCGAAGGCGGCCUUCCGGACUGACACUGACGCUGAGGUGCGAAAGCGUGGGUAGCAAACAGGAUUAGAUACCCUAGUAGUC